UAAUAUCAGUUCCCUCAGGUUUUUGUAAUGAAGACCUGCUUAGGUGAAUUGGAAUUGGAGGUUCAAUGCAGGUCCCCCCUACAUUAGGGAUCAGCUCCUCUUAAAUGCAUUAGCUGGAGGAUGAAAGCAAAAGUUGCUCUUUAGCACUGUUCAUCUGCUAUGGUGUAAUAAUUGUUCCAUCAUGGCUUUUGGAUGAAUUUAGAAAAGAGCUUCUUAUUGCAGUCUUGCUCUGCUUCUAAUUGUCAGUUGACUUAUUGACU
rnacentral:misc_RNA from 1 species